rnacentral:rRNA from 1 species
AACGAACGUUAGCGGCGCGCCUAACACAUGCAAGUCGUGCGAGAAAGGGCUUCGGCCCCGGUAAAGCGGCGCACGGGUGAGUAACACGUAGGCAAUCUGCCUCCGAGUGGUGGAUAACCUUCCGAAAGGAGGGCUAAUACAGCAUAAGACCACGGGUUCGUAGAACCUGAGGUCAAAGCGGACCUCUUCAUGAAAGUUCGCGCUUGGAGAUGAGCCUGCGGCCCAUCAGCUAGUUGGUAAGGUAAUGGCUUACCAAGGCUAAGACGGGUAGCUGGUCUGAGAGGACGAACAGCCACACUGGAACUGAGACACGGUCCAGACUCCUACGGGAGGCAGCAGUGGGGAAUCUUGCGCAAUGGGCGAAAGCCUGACGCAGCGACGCCGCGUGAGCGAUGAAGGCCUUCGGGUUGUAAAGCUCUGUGGGGAGAGACGAAUAAGGUGCAGCUAAUACCUGCAUCGAUGACGGUAUCUCCUUAGCAAGCACCGGCUAACUCUGUGCCAGCAGCCGCAGUAAAAC